UUUCGUAACAAGGUCUCCGUAGGUGAACCUGACGGACGCGGAUAAUUACACAAAUAUGAAGGCGGGCUGGAACCUCUCGGGGUUACAGCCUUGCUGAAUUAUUCACCCUUGUCUUUUGCGUACUUCUUGUUUCCUUGGUGGGUUCGCCCACCACUAGGACAAACAUAAACCUUUUGUAAUUGCAAUCAGCGUCAGUAACAAAUUAAUAAUUACAACUUUCAACAACGGAUCUCUUGGUUCUGGCAUCGAUGAAGAACGCAGCGAAAUGCGAUAAGUAGUGUGAAUUGCAGAAUUCAGUGAAUCAUCGAAUCUUUGAACGCACAUUGCGCCCUUUGGUAUUCCAAAGGGCAUGCCUGUUCGAGCGUCAUUUGUACCCUCAAGCUUUGCUUGGUGUUGGGCGUCUUGUCUCUAGCUUUGCUGGAGACUCGCCUUAAAGUAAUUGGCAGCCGGCCUACUUGGUUUCGGAGCGCAGCACAAGUCGCACUCUCUAUCAGCAAAGGUCUAGCAUCCAUUAAGCCUUUUUUUUCAACUUUUGACCUCGGAUCAGGUAGGGAUACCCGCUGAACUUAAGCAUAUCAAUAAAGUAACAUUUCG
rnacentral:rRNA from 1 species